rnacentral:rRNA from 1 species
GUGGGGAAUAUUGGACAAUGGGGGAAACCCUGAUCCAGCGACGCCGCGUGUGUGAAGAAGGCCUGCGGGUUGUAAAGCACUUUCGGUGGGUACGAAAUAUGCCGGGCUAAUACCCCGGCAGGCUGACGUUACCCAAUGAAGAAGCACCGGCUAACUCUGUGCCAGCAGCCGCGGUAAUACAGAGGGUGCAAGCGUUAAUCGGAAUUACUGGGCGUAAAGCGCACGUAGGCGGCUUCGUAAGUCGGAUGUGAAAUCCCCGGGCUCAACCUGGGAACUGCAUUCGAGACUGCGGAGCUCGAGUAUGGAAGAGGAAGGCGGAAUUCCAGGUGUAGCGGUGAAAUGCGUAGAUAUCUGGAGGAACAUCAGUGGCGAAGGCGGCCUUCUGGUCCAAUACUGACGCUCAGGUGCGAAAGCGUGGGGAGCAAACAGGAUUAGAAACCCGGGUAGUCC